rnacentral:rRNA from 1 species
UUAAUGGAGAGUUUGAUCCUGGCUCAGGACGAACGCUGGCGGCGUGCUUAACACAUGCAAGUCGAACGAUGAAGCUGUGCUUGCACAGUGGAUUAGUGGCGAACGGGUGAGUAACACGUGAGUAACCUGCCCUCCACUUUGGGAUAACUCCGAGAAAUCGGGGCUAAUACUGGAUAUGACCUUGGCCCGCAUGGGUUGUGGUGGAAAGUUUUUCGGUGGGGGAUGGGCUCGCGGCCUAUCAGUUUGUUGGUGAGGUAGUGGCUCACCAAGGCGAUGACGGGUAGCCGGCCUGAGAGGGCGACCGGCCACACUGGGACUGAGACACGGCCCAGACUCCUACGGGAGGCAGCAGUGGGGAAUAUUGCACAAUGGGCGAAAGCCUGAUGCAGCGACGCCGCGUGGGGGAUGACGGCCUUCGGGUUGUAAACCUCUUUCAGCAAGGAAGAAGCGAAAGUGACGGUACUUGCAGAAGAAGCGCCGGCUAACUACGUGCCAGCAGCCGCGGUAAUACGUAGGGCGCAAGCGUUGUCCGGAAUUAUUGGGCGUAAAGGGCUUGUAGGUGGCUUGUCGCGUCUGCCGUGAAAACUCGAGGCUUAACCUUGGGCGUGCGGUGGGUACGGGCAGGCUAGAGUGCGGUAGGGGAGACUGGAAUUCCUGGUGUAGCGGUGAAAUGCGCAGAUAUCAGGAGGAACACCGAUGGCGAAGGCAGGUCUCUGGGCCGUUACUGACACUGAGAAGCGAAAGCAUGGGGAGCGAACAGGAUUAGAUACCCUGGUAGUCCAUGCCGUAAACGUUGGGCAC